rnacentral:rRNA from 1 species
GGGGGAUAUUGCACAAUGGAGGAAACUCUGAUGCAGCAACGCCGCGUGAGGGAAGAAGGUCUUCGGAUUGUAAACCUUUGUCCUUGGUGACGAUAAUGACGGUAGCCAAGGAGGAAGCUCCGGCUAACUACGUGCCAGCAGCCGCGGUAAUACGUAGGGAGCAAGCGUUGUCCGGAUUUACUGGGUGUAAAGGGUGCGUAGGCGGCCCUGCAAGUCAGGCGUGAAAGGCGGAGGCUUAACCUCCGAGCUGCGUUUGAAACUGUGGGGCUUGAGUGAAGUAGAGGUAGGCGGAAUUCCCGGUGUAGCGGUGAAAUGCGUAGAGAUCGGGAGGAACACCAGUGGCGAAGGCGGCCUACUGGGCUUUAACUGACGCUGAAGCACGAAAGCAUGGGUAGCAAAC